CGCUGCCUGAUUGAAAUGCAAAUCCUGCCUGCCAUUCGCCUUAAGUUGGGUGAUGCAAAGUUUGCUUCCACAGUCGCCCUGGUCAUCCCGACGCUUCGGCUGCCUCCUCUCCACCCCCACCCCUCCCCAGCAAUUGGGAAACCGCGCGCUCCCUAACAACAAGCUUUGCAACUUUCCAAGCCUCUCGGAGCCUGUGACAGAAAAGCACACAACUUGUGGUGGCGCGACAGGAGGAGAGACGCACGUCUUGCAGCCCCGGGUGCCAAGAAAACCCCUCUCCUCCUUCCUAGAUACACUCAGGAGGUUAUAGUGGCUUCGUUUCUCCACGCCUUUCCAAAAUACAGAACACACACACGCAAAAUCUGGCAAACGCAGAAAUAAAAGAAGGGCUUGCAGCUACCCGAAAGUCAUUAAGGCAUUAAGUUCUCUAGGAAGACAGAUCUGGAGAAAAAUUCAAGAAAAUGAAAAUAUCGCCCUAAACAAGGAUCAAAGGAAGACAUCUUACACUGAAUCAGAUUAUUGGCCCAUCUAGCACAGUAUUGCCUACAUUGACUGCCAGCUGCUGUUCAUGGCUCCAUGGAAAUGCUGGGGAUUGAAAUUGGGACCUUCUGAAUGCAAAGAAGACCUCCUAUCAUUGAGCUCUGGUCCUUCCUGGGUAGGCCACAAUCUCAAUACUGCUGACACAGUAACUAGCUCUGAGGAACAGGCAAGGAAGGCCCAAGGAAGUUUGCUGUUCAAUAAAGGAUGCUGGGUUGCUUGGCAACCAAUCGUUAGGCCCAAUGGUGCAACCAGCCAGCCAGGCAUUCCAAACUGGCUGCUUCCAUCGUCUUACGUCCUAACACAGGUGUUUCUCCUCGGCUGAUUUUACUGCCUUUUUGUAACCCCUGGGGUCAUGCAUCCAGAAAGUCCUGGGCAGGAAUUACAGCUGUAUAUAAUUCCAAACUUUUGCCCCCUUUCCUAGAAUGACUAUUAAGGUAUUUUGUCCACAAACUGGAAUGGUCUUUUGUAUACUGAAAAUGUGAUUCUCAUUCCCGGUUACACAUGAAUGCCCUUAUACCACCAAGGUUUGUCAGCAAGAACAAAUAUAAAACAUAUAAGGAUGCUGAAAGUGUAUUUUCAAGUUCAGGUGGAGCUCACUUCAAUGCUUGGAAGUUUGUUGUGAUGAGCAUCACAAAUGAAUACCAUAUUGGACUAAGUAAAAACAACAUGCCCAGUGUAGAUGAGAAGACAGGGCAGGUUAUUUGCCCACCAGUGAAAGGUCAGAAGUACUUCUGAAGAGCAUUCAUGUAUUUUUCAUAUUUUCUUUCUCUUUCUCCAAUGAAGUAAAUGUAUAUGCUGCAAACUGCAUUUUUCUGGAUGAUAUUAUAUGGUUUUAGUAUUAUAUCAUAUGCCGCUCUGGGUACUUUUAGUAGACAAGUGGGAUGUUACACAUGAGCAACAUGUGUUUUUAAUUCUCUUUUGAAUGUUUCUAAAUAUCUGUUUUUGACCUUCUUUUAUUUAUGCUUCCAGUGUUGUUUGUAAAUCGCUUAGAGGGCUCUUAUGACAAUCAAUUGAGAUAUACAUUUUGUAUUAUUAUUAUUAUUAUUAUUAUUAUUAUUAUUAAUAAUAAGAUCUGAUUGUGGCAGCCUGCAAAUGCAACAAUCAUUCUGCCAGUGGGAACCCCUUUCCUAAUAUAGCAAUGCCACUAAGUGGCUUGGGGUGACAAAAGUGUUACAGUGUUGACCUAUUGUAUAUUUUUUCUACUUUUACAAGACCUGCACCUAUUUUUCUGCUUGCACAAUUAAAAUAGUUUGAGCAACAA